AAUUACUUUAACCAGCCGCAACGUAAAGUCCCUGGAGAAAGUGUGUGCUGACUUAAUCAGAGGUGCAAAGGAAAAGAAUCUCAAGGUGAAAGGACCAGUUCGGAUGCCAACCAAGACAUUGAGAAUCACUACAAGAAAAACACCUUGUGGUGAAGGUUCUAAGACUUGGGAUCGUUUCCAGAUGAGAAUUCACAAGCGACUCAUUGAUUUGCACAGUCCUUCUGAGAUUGUU